AGCAAACAAAUAUAAGGAGGUCACGAGCAAACAAAUAUAAGGAGGUCACGAGCAAACAAAUAUAAGGAGGUCACGAGCAAACAAAUAUAAGGAGUUCACGAGCAAACAAAUAUAAGGAGGUCACGAGCAAACAAAUAUAAGGAGGUCACGAGCAAACAAAUAUAAGGAGGUCACGAGCAAACAAAUAUAAGGAGGUCACGAGCAAACAAAUAUAAGGAGGUCACGAGCAAACAAAUAUAAGGAGGUCAUGAGCAAACAAAUAUAAGGAGGGCACGAGCAAACAAAUAU